rnacentral:rRNA from 1 species
GAAACAUCUAAGUACCCCGAGGAAAAGAAAUCAACCGAGAUUCCCCCAGUAGCGGCGAGCGAACGGGGAGCAGCCCAGAGUCUGAAUCAGCUUGUGUGUUAGUGGAACGGUCUGGAAAGUCCGACGGUACAGGGUGAUAGUCCCGUACACCAAAAUGCACAGGCUGUGAACUCGAAGAGUAGGGCGGGACACGUGGUGAUCCUGUCUGAAUAUGGGGGGACCAUCCUCCAAGGCUAAAUACUCCUGACUGACCGAUAGUGAACCAGUACCGUGAGGGAAAGGCGAAAAGAACCCCGGCGAGGGGAGUGAAAAAGAACCUGAAACCGUGUACGUACAAGCAGUGGGAGCACCUUCGGGUGUGACUGCGUACCUUUUGUAUAAUGGGUCAGCGACUUAUAUUCUGUAGCAAGGUUAACCGUAUAGGGGAGCCGCAGGGAAACCGAGUCUUA